rnacentral:rRNA from 1 species
GACGAACGCUGGCGGCGUGCCUAAUACAUGCAAGUCGAACGCAGUGGGGACGGGUGAGUAACACGUGGGUAACCUCCCAUCAGAGGGGAUCACCCUUGGAAACAGGUGCUAAACCGAUACUGAUGGAUGGACCCGCGGUGCAUUAGCUCGUUGGUGAGGUAACGGCUCACCAAGGCCACGAUGCAUAGCGGACCGGGGAGGGUGAGCGACCAAGCUGGGACAGAGAAACGGCCAAGACUCGUAGGGGAGGCAGGGGUAGGGAAUCUUCGGCAAUGGACGAAAGUCUGACAGAGCGACGCCGCGUGGGUGAAGAAGGUUUUCGGAUCGUAAGACUCUGUUGUUAGAGAGGCGGUAUCUAACCAGAAAGCCACGGCUAACUACGUGCCAGCAGCCGCGGUAAUUC